ACAUACAUACAUACAUACAUACAUACAUAUAUAUAUAUAUAUAUACUUAUGUAAAUGUAUACACCACUUUCGUGUCUUAAAAUGUUGUGCCUUUCUAUGUUAAAUUUGUUAAUAAUAUUAUACAAAUUGUAGCAACAGUAGUGAAAAACAAUACAUACAUUAAAAUAAAAUUUAUACAAUAUAAAUUGCAAAUUCAUAUUUAUAUCUAAUAUAUUUCAUCUUUUCUUUUCUUUUUUUCAGGCUGAACUACAGUGUUCACAAUGUAAACAAGUCUACUAUUGCUCAAAAGAUUGCCAAAUGAAAGAUUGGUUUAAUCAUCGCAAAGUUUGCUCAAGUGCAAUAUGAAUUCAAAAUAAGUUUUAACAAAAAAAACAUAAUAAAGUAUAAAUAUGAAAAAAAGAAGAAUAUAAAUAACUAUGAAUUUACAAAAUAUAGAACAGUUUUAUGUUAUCACCAGAAUCUCAAAUGGGGUAAAAAUAGAUAGUUACAUAUAUACUAAAUUCAUAAAUAUUGUAAUUUUAUUCUUCUAUUUUUAAUUAAAAAAGCAAAUGAAGAAGGACACGCACAUACAUAUAUAUCACCAUUGUAUGUGUAUAUAUGCGCGCAUGUUCAAACUUUACGUAAAGACUAUAUAAAAAAAAUAAAAAUAAACAAGCAAAUAAAGAAGAAAAUAAAGAAGCAAAUAAAACAACAUCAAACAACAUCAUUUUUUACAUUUACACAAUUAACAAUGUUUGUCCUACAAAUAGGACAUACCUGGCUUUUAUAUAACCAUUUAGUAAGACAAUUUACAUGAAAAAAAUGUCUUUUAUCACAUGGUAAAAUCAUAAUAUCAUCACUACUUAUAUAAUUUAACAUACAUAUUGAACACACAUCUUCAAUUUCAUUAGAUAAUUCAUUAUAGUUAUUGUUUGUUAUAUUUUUUUUUGGUGUCUUACUCAUACUUUCAUUAGUAUUAUUAUUUUUAUCAGUACUAUUAUUUUUAUUAUUAUUAUUGUUAUUAUUUGUGUUAUAAUAUUCAGUACUAUCGUUAUGUCCAUAGGCAAGGUCAUUCGUGUAAUUGUCCAUGUGUCCAUGGUUAUCUAUUGUAAUACCAUCAGAAGUCUGACCAUUUUUUUCGUCAUGCAUAUCUGAAUUAAGUGGUUUUAGCAUUUCUUGCAAGUUUUCAUCUGAACUACUUAAACUAUUCACAUUAAUUAAUACAUUAGAAUUUGAUUUUGUUAAUGUUUCUUUAUUACUUUUAUCUCGUAUAACAUUUUUUACUUUGUCUAUGAUCAUUUCAAAAGAAGGUUUUUUAAUAUAUGAUUUAUUUCUACUUUUUUUAUUAUUAUUAUUGUUAUUAAUAUUAUAAAUAUAAUCAAUAUCUUCAUAUUUCAUAACUUUUAAUUUACUUAUAAUAUUUUGUGGAGUUGGUAUUCGAUCAUUUUCAUCAACAGAAAAAUUAACCAUAAUACAAAUAAUAAUUGAUAAGAAUAAACCAAGAAAAAUAUAAAAUAUUAAAGGAAUA
rnacentral:lncRNA from 1 species